rnacentral:lncRNA from 1 species
AGUGAUGAAGAUAUGCAGUUCACGAAGUGACCAGAAGGUGUCGGUGUAAACCUGCAGGAGAGCCAGAGACGCUUCAUUCACACACAUGACUGGAGCUUCUCUGCGUUUACUUCCCAUGUGCGUGCAACUGCAACUGACGCUGAGAGAUACACCUGCUUUUUAUUAGAGCCGUAAUCCAACUCCAGUCGCUCUUGAGGAAGCAGAGAAGAGAUAGAGGUGAAGGGGCCUCGUGCCCAGUGAGGAGCCCUGGCAGCGCUGCAGAACGGGAUAUUUAGGCUGUUAGAGCACCAGGAAGCUCUGAGUCCCAUUUUGGGUGGUGGUGAAGAUACAGCAGGUCCACAUCAACAUGAGACACAGGCAGCCUCUGUGACGGCCAGCUGCGCGUCUGGAAUACAAGUCAUCUAAUUACGUGGAAAAGAUGGCCACCGACCGCCAGCAAACAAACAGAGUCCCUCUCACCUGUCGCCUGACCUACUUUACCAUGGAAAACACUGCUGGGCUGCUGUAAAGUCGGGAGAUGACAUUCCCGCUUGUUUUUGGGGCUUGGAGGCCUGGUGUAGCACAGUGGGUGGGUUCAGCUCUCCGGCUCUGAAGUCAUGCGAGGAAGAGGUGGAGGAGACGGGUGGAGAUGCCACGCUUUUAUGACGCCUUGCAUCAUGGUAUACAGCUGGAGUGGAAAGCUGCCAUGACAUCAGCCAGAGGACAGCAGGAUUCUGGGCCUGGGACAGGAAGUGACUCACAGGAAGUGAGCUGAGCAACAUGUGGAUGCGUGGCUGUUUGAUGUGUUUUGAGCUGCUCCACAGACGCUCCGUUUCCAAGUGUGCUGGACGUCAUCGAACGGACGCUUCACAGAAAGGCGUAGUGAGCCUCCUCUCAAAUUAGCGGGCCGCUGUGGGAUAACAAAGGCCUCGGGAUCCGCCGCAGACCCUGUCCGAACUUCAGCGUCCCUCUGGCACGAGUCCAGCAGUCGUAUCCCAGCUGCCCUCAUCAAAGGUACGCGCUGCAUAGUUUCCAAACGCCGACCGCCAGAAAUCUGGAAAUCGGAUUCUGAUGCUGCAUGAAUCUGGUCGGAGGAACUGCAGAUACUUUCGGUGUGGUUUGCACUCAGUGAGACGAAUCAAAUAACUGUUCCCUGCCAGACUGAAUCCCUCCCAGCCGAUGCCUAGACUGGUGCUAGUAAAGCCAUAUGCUUGAAUUUUCCCAAGUUUGAUACAGUAAAACAAACUGUUUUACUUGCCAAGGUGCAUCUUCAGUCAGGUAUUUUAAAGUAUAGCUGAAAACAAAACUUCAGCUCAGACUGCAUUUUUUACAUAAAGAUUUUCAUUUUAGACAUUUUUUAUUAAAUCAUCAUUUUACUUUAUUACAUCAUUUUAUUAUAUGUAAAUCAAUUAAUGAAACAUUGGAAACUACCUUAAUGGGAAAGUUGGCCAUCCAGUGACCUGGUUCUGUCUUGCUGUCCAGUAGAUUUCAAACUCUAUAGCUUAAAUAAAAUAGAUGAGCACUUU